UAGGGAAUAUUGGACAAUGGGGGCAACCCUGAUCCGGCCAUGCCGCGUGAGUGAAGAAGGCCUUGGGUUGUAAAGCUCUUUUGUCCGGAAAGAAAAGCUUCGGGUUAAUACCCCGGGGUUCUGACGGUACCGGAAGAAUAAGCACCGGCUAACUUCGUGCCAGCAGCCGCGGUAAUACGAAGGGUGCAAGCGUUACUCGGAAUUACUGGGCGUAAAGCGUGCGUAGGUGGUUGUUUAAGUCUGAUGUGAAAGCCCUGGGCUCAACCUGGGAAUGGCAUUCGAAACUGGGCAGCUAGAGUGCGGUAGAGGGUAGUGGAAUUCCCGGUGUAGCAGUGAAAUGCGUAGAGAUCGGGAGGAACAUCUGUGGCGAAGGCGACUGCCUGGACCAGCACUGACACUGAGGCACGAAAGCGUGGGGAGCAAACA
rnacentral:rRNA from 1 species